GCCAAGAUUUUACUAAAUUGAAACACGACUGUACACAGCUCCUGAACUGAAGUGGUCAAUCCCAUCUUGACACACGCACCGAUAAGUCAAGUACUUGACUACACCCAGCAGCCUUCCGUCACUGAAUUAAAAAUUCAGGUAGUCCAGUGCCUAAGUGCAGUGAGUUGCUUGCAAGUCACCAUGGCGGUCUCAGGUCGGAGGGACAGUUAUACCCAUAUCCCAUCAGAGCAAAUCUUGACAGUAGAAAAAGCUCCGGAGUCGGUUAUGUUCAGUGCAGAUGUAUCCUUACAUCUCACCUGUAUGCCAUACCAGUGUCUCCACACUCCUUGGUUAAGAGGACAACCAAUCUAUAUGGCACACAACGACCUAUGCUUGAUAAACGUUGUUGUCCUUGGUAACAACGUAUCAUUUGAUCGUGAACAGAUUUAAGGACUAAACGAUAAAUCCUCCUUUAUCGAGUCUAAAUAGUCCUAAGACUUCACCACAACACCGGAGUUUAUUAGAAGAUGAAACAAUUUGUGAUGAAAAAUAUCAAAAUAAUUUUUAUUAAUUUAUAAUUCAUAUACUAAUACAAGAAAGAGCACAACCGUCAACAGGCUGAUGAUUGGCUUUGGGACACUAUUCCCAACAGUUGAAGGGUACAUCAGACGUAGUUUAUUCAAAAGAAGAGCCAAAUGCUCGACUAUUAGGUUGUGAGGGUUGCCC
rnacentral:lncRNA from 1 species